rnacentral:rRNA from 1 species
GACGAACGCCGGCGGCGUGCUUAACACAUGCAAGUCGAACGAUGAAGCCGGGGCUUGCUCCGGUGGAUUAGUGGCGAACGGGUGAGUAACACGUGAGCAAUCUGCCCUUGACUCUGGGAUAACUGCGGGAAACUGUAGCUAAUACCGGAUACGACACCUUGGGGCAUCCCAGGGUGUGGAAAGAAUUUCGGUCAAGGAUGAGCUCGCGGCCUAUCAGCUAGUUGGUGAGGUAAUGGCUCACCAAGGCGACGACGGGUAGCCGGCCUGAGAGGGUGACCGGUCACACUGGAACUGAGACACGGUCCAGACUCCUACGGGAUGCAGCAGUGGGGAAUAUUGCACAAUGGGCGAAAGCCUGAUGCAGCAACGCCGCGUGAGGGAUGAAGGCCUUCGGGUUGUAAACCUCUUUUAGCAGGGAAGAAGCGAAAGUGACGGUACCUGCAGAAAAAGCACCGGCUAACUACGUGCCAGCAGCCGCAGUAA